AUCUCGAGUAGCUGCCGCAUUGCACGUGGCCCGUCACCAGUUCCCCCCGCGACAUCGAAGCGGACGCACGUUCUGAAGUUUUGGCGCCAUCCCGGUGCGUGAGACCGGUGUCACCGAUUAUCAUGUCAUUCGAAAAUGAACAGCGUCGGCUCGAGUCUCUUUUACAAGAAGUACUCAAUGAGGACGGGCCAUCAACGCCAUCAGACAUCGCCAUCAGACAAGUGCAAAAAAUAUUUGUGUCUUGAACAUGUAGUGCCUUUCUGCAGAAGCUGUUUGACUGAAGAAUAGUCAUUUUUUAGAUUAAUUUUUUGUUAUUUUUUUUGUUGGUAUGAUGCCACUUUUUGUUUAUUUUAUGUAAGUUCCUAGUGUCCUAAAAGAGAUAAGACUGAACUUAUAUAUAAAAUAUAUUGAUAUUUGUGUUUUCUAUUAUCUAACAAAA